UAAUACGAAGGGUGCAAGCGUUAAUCGGAAUUACUGGGCGUAAAGCGUGCGUAGGCGGUUCGUUAAGUCUGUCGUGAAAGCCCUGGGCUCAACCUGGGAAUGGCGAUGGAUACUGGCGAGCUAGAGUCAGGUAGAGGGUGGUGGAAUUCCCGGUGUAGCGGUGAAAUGCGUAGAGAUCGGGAGGAACAUCUGUGGCGAAGGCGGCCACCUGGACCAUGACUGACGCUGAGGCACGAAAGCGUGGGGAGCAAACAGGAUUAGAUACCCUGGUAGUCCACGCCCUAAACGAUGCGAACUGGAUGUUGGGCUCAACUCGGAGCUCAGUGUCGAAGCUAACGCGUUAAGUUCGCCGCCUGGGGAGUACGGUCGCAAGACUG
rnacentral:rRNA from 1 species